rnacentral:tRNA from 1 species
AAGGUUUUAAGUUAAAAAAACUAGAAGCCUUCAAAGCUCCAAAUAAGAGAUCAACCUCUUAAACCUUA